GACGGAGGGGGCUAGCGUUGUUCGGAAUUACUGGGCGUAAAGAGUGCGUAGGCGGUUUAGUAAGUUGGAAGUGAAAGCCCGGGGCUUAACCUCGGAAUAGCUUUCAAAACUACUAAUCUAGAGUGUAGUAGGGGGAUGAUGGAAUUCCUAGUGUAGAGGUGAAAUUCUUAGAUAUUAGGAGGAACACCGGUGGCGAAGGCGGUCAUCUGGGCUACAACUGACGCUGAUGCACGAAAGCGUGGGGAGCAAACAGG
rnacentral:rRNA from 1 species